rnacentral:rRNA from 1 species
UACGUAGGGUGCGAGCGUUAAUCGGAAUUACUGGGCGUAAAGCGUGCGCAGGCGGUGAUGUAAGACAGAUGUGAAAUCCCCGGGCUUAACCUGGGAACUGCAUUGGUGACUGCAUUGCUCGAGUAUGGCAGAGGGGGGUGGAAUUCCACGUGUAGCAGCGAAAUGCGUAGAGAUGUGGAGGAACACCGAUGGCGAAGGCAGCCCCCUGGGUCAAGAUUGACGCUCAUGCACGAA